AGUUGAUCCUGGCUCAGGACGAACGCUGGCGGCGUGCUUACACAUGCAAGUCAAGGAGAAAGGGAUUCUUCGGAUUCCUGAGUAAACUGGCGGAUGGGUGAGUAACACGUAGGUAAUCUGCCUUUCGGACCGGGAUAACACGGCUAACGCGGUGCUAAUACCGGAUGUAGCGUUUGGAUCGCCUGAUUUGGGCGUGAAAGGUUGGCUUUUGCUAACGCCGAGAGAUGAGCCUGCGUCCCAUUAGCUAGUUGGUGAGGUAACGGCUCACCAAGGCAACGAUGGGUAGCCGGCCUGAGAGGGUGAACGGCCACACUGGGACUGAGAUACGGCCCAGACUCCUACGGGAGGCAGCAGUGAGGAAUAUUGCGCAAUGGACGAAAGUCUGACGCAGCAACGCCGCGUGAGGGAUGAAGCUCUUAGGAGUGUAAACCUUUUUUAGGAGGGAAGAACGGGUAGCAUUCGAACAGGGUGUUACUGUGACGGUACCUCCAGAAUAAGCCCCGGCUAACUCCGUGCCAGCAGCCGCGGUAAUACGGGGGGGGCUAGCGUUGUCCGGAAUUAUUGGGCGUAAAGGGCGCGUAGGCGGGAUAGUCAGUCUGAGGUGAAAGCCCAGGGCUUAACUCUGG
rnacentral:rRNA from 1 species